rnacentral:tRNA from 1 species
AGAGAUGAAGCUCAGUGGUAGAGCAUUUGCCUAGCAAGCAUGAGGCCUUAGGUUCAAUCACUAGCACCAUAA